AUCCUUUUGUGAUUCAUAAACAUGAUGACUGGGUUUUGAUCCUUAGGUGUGAGAUGCGCCUCCCUCAAAUCUUGCUAUGACAUCUGUACAUUACUCAACUGACA
ensembl:snoRNA